GGACCUUUAGCUUAAUGGUUAAAGCAGCUGACUCAUAAUCAGAAGAUUGUAGGUUCAAAUCCUUCAAGGUCCA
rnacentral:tRNA from 1 species